UACGGGGGAGGCAAGCGUUGUUCGGAAUUACUGGGCGUAAAGGGCUCGUAGGCGGCCAACUAAGUCGGACGUGAAAUCCCUCGGUUUAACCGGGGAACUGCGUCCGAUACUGGCGGGCUUGAGUUUGGGAGAGGGAUGCGGAAUUCCAGGUGUAGCGGUGAAAUGCGUAGAUAUCUGGAGGAACACCGGUGGCGAAGGCGGCAUCCUGGACCAACACUGACGCUGAGGAGCGAAAGCCAGGGGAGCAAACGGG
rnacentral:rRNA from 1 species